ensembl:lncRNA
AUGACAUUAAAAGGCAGGGAAGGGAACGUUGUGGAGACAGAAAUAGACUCACUGCUCCUGCUGAUGGCAGUCUAUGAGGAACAAGAAGCCCAGCAGAAGGAUGUUGCAAACACCAGCCUCACACCGAGUCUUGACCUUCACCAGGUUGAACUCUCCGCAUUCCAGCCAAUUACUGGAGGAGAGAUUGAAGUCAAUUCCUCAGCGCUCAAGUCUAACACACCACUGUUGGUGAGAAGCAGCAGUGACUCAGCCCUCAAUCCCCAAACAACAGAGGUCGAAGCCACCUUCGGUGAAGAAGACUCUGUGAUGGUAAGAACCAUAACCUGUUAUUUAGAAAAAUUUAUACAUCAAAGAAGUACCUGAACACAUGAAAAUUUGUUUCAGAUGCAUAUCAGACACCUAUAAAUAUAAACUUAAAGUCAAACUGGAGCAAAACUAUGUAAAAAUUUUCAAUCUUUUGUCUUAUUUUUCUGCACUUGGCUCAUCUUAUUGAACUAUGUGCGGGGUUGUUGGUGUUAAGUGGACUAGUGACAUUUACUAUAUCAUAUAUACCUGCAAACUUGUUGCUUUUCGGUUUAAAUCGCUGUUUUUGAGCCAAGCCAAAUAUAGCGUUCACGUGAAUCAUAUAGAUCCGAACCGUUUUUGUUUUGGGUGGUCCUUCUGUUGGGUUUCAGUAACUUUUUAUGCGAAUCAGUCAGAGAAAGGAGGGGUAUUCAUCAUGUUCACAACCUAUCUUUUUUAUUGCGCAUCAGUCAUUUGACCAAUCACAGUCGCAGAGACUUAGGGCAAGUAUGCAGGUAAAUCAAAAUAUUCUUCAUCGAAGAUUUUCUUAUCCAACUGAUUAUUCCAAAAGUGUUCAAAUGAAGGCAACUGCACUUUGUGUUUCUUGAAGACGUUUCGCUUCUCAUCCCAAGAGCUUUAUCAAUUCUGACUAGAAUAUGGGAGAAUCAAGCUUAUAAACUGUAGCUGCCAUUUGUUACUCAAUGAGCAGAAACUACCUAUGACUACCCCCCUCCCCAACCCCUGAUGAGUCAGUAGCCUCGAUUGUAUGGGGGCCAUUGUGUUGUUUAGAUGCAGGAGGGUGUGACCUGGACCUAGACAGAAACUGUUUGGGGGUAAGAUUCAGAGCUGCAUUAUAGGCGCUCAACUGAUUAUUGCCAAAAUAACUAUGUUGUUAACAUUUCCAUAAGUACUCAAAUGUAGCUUGUACAUGUGUCCCCUAAUAUUAUUACAUAAAACACAGACUUAACAUUAUAUACAAUAUGAGCUCUUCAGCUCUUGUGUGGUAUCAUAGCCAGAUUGCCAUUAAAAAUGCAAAGCACAUUAAGAACCUCAAGGGUAUUCACUUUGAUUUUAAUGACCUUGUGCCCCUUUCUCUUUUGACAAAUGAUGACAUUUGCACCACUGUUCAUAACGUAAUGAAAAUCCUAAUGAAAUCUUGUUGAUCUGAUUAUGCCUGGAUACCUAUGAUUCAUUAGAUUUUAGUUUCUGCACUAUUUUAAAUGUUUUUGGGCCCAGAAAAUGUGGAAAAGGUCACACAUGUUUGAUUAGUUAUAGUAAAGUCCCCUUUGAUAGCAACAGGUUGUCAUUUUUAAACAUCAGGAAAAGAUAAUUUCCCAAUAUUACACUGUUUAUGUUUGCCUUCUUAUAAAUAGAUAGAAGAUAAAGAACUAAAUGUAAGCAUAUGCUGAGACUAGUAUAAGAGCACAUGUGCUGUAAAUGAUUUCAGGUAAGCAGCUCCAUUAAAUCCUCAAGUGGGAAACUGUCACAGGUCAGCAGGGUCCCUGUGUGCAUGUGUAUGGGAAAGGGUUUGAGUAAAUUAUGCCUUUUGUUCAUGUCCUUUCGUAUUCAGACACAUUUUGUCACAUCAGGUUCCAUUAACAAAGACGGAUGAGUCUCAAGUGUUUCCCCCUCCGUCUUUCCAUACUUUCCCUCCCUUACUCAGAGGUCAGAGGGCACAGUAUUUUUUGUUUGCCUCAUCUGCUUCUUCCUCUUCUCUUUUCUUACUAGCACUGAUCUCAUUUUCACAUCUGCCCCCCUUUUCAGUGUGUCUCCUGUUGUCACUACAGUGAAUUUUCAUGACAGAAGGGUCCUUUUGUGAUUUACAUAGGCUCAUUUUUAGACUUGUUUGACUUUAUCUUUGUCUCUAACGUGGUUGCCCCAAUCUGCAUUUAAAGUUUCCCUUAUCUCUAUUUAUUCAGAGUUAAAAAUCCUAUUUAAAUAUUUUUUCCAGUUCCCAAUAUUUUUUUUUUUGCAUUGCCCCUAAUGUUCUUUUAUCUAAUACUCCUUGUUAUACAGUAAAUAUAAUAGAUAAUUACAAUAAAACAGCCCCAUUCAUGGGUUUACUUUGCUUUUACAAUAAAUAAAUUAAUGUUAGGACAUGCAUGGUUAGAGGUCUAGAUUUUAUUGUUAUUGAUGGUGUUACUGUUUUGCAUUCCCUCUACAUCGUUGGACAAAGUCCCUGAAGUUAACUGCUUAAAUUAUCUCGAUGUCUGAUUGGACUGUCGAGUGAUCUGACUUCUUCCCUUGAGACUCCUCACUGGACAAACAUCCUUUUUAAUCAGCCCUUUUAUUCCCCUUAGAAAGAUGUGGUUGCAAGGUUUGGUUUGUUUGGGGAAUAUGGUUGCUUCUCAGAGGUGGUCAGUGUUUUUUCUUUUCUUCCUGUUACUGGGGGCAACCUAAGAUGUUUGUGAAACAAUACAACAUGUCCUCAGGAUCCAUUAAAUACGUAACUAUUUGAUUCUAUUGUUCCUAUUUAUAUAUUUUCAAAUCAAAGCUAAUUAAAGUAGGCAAACAAUUGGAUUUAAUACAUUUAAUUGAUAUGUCUUCACCAUGUAUUAGCCAUAUUACGCCUGUCCUGGUACGUCUUCAGUGGCUCCCUGUCAUUUUCAGAAUACAGUUAUUGACUUUUGUAUUUAAACCACUUAACGACCUGGCACCCCUCUAUCUCUCUGACCUGCUUACUCCCUAUGUACCCACGGCGUGGGUAACAAAGCAGCAUGGAGACACUCCGUCUCCAACCACCUCUCAGGCAGCAGCCUGCACUCCCAAGUUCUACACGUCACCAGAACAUAACCAACCACAACACAAUAAAAGCAGUGUUAUACAAAAUGGGAGGCCUGUAGUGUUUAUUCUCUUACAGUAACAAUUAAUCAAUUUUUGGGAGGAAUUUAUUUGAGAUUUUCUUGUUUUUAUUAAUUGUGCAAUAAGAAAAUAAUCGCUAGAUUAAUCGUCUAAAUAGUCAUUAGAAUUGUCGACUAUUCGAUAAAAUAAUCGUCAGAAUAAUCGUUUUAAAAAUAAUUGUUUACCCCCAGCCCUAACCCACGCGCACGUUGAGGUCGGCUGACCUCCUGCUGCUGUGAACGCUCCAGAUGCGAUACAAAUCGCGGGGUGAACUAGCAUUUGUGCAUGCUGCCCCAAAGCUGUGGAACUCGUUACCCAGUGGAGUUCGUCAGGCUCCAUCAUUGGCGGUUUUGAAAUCUCGUUUAAAGACCCACUUUUACGAUGUGGCUUUAAAACAGUGACUCGUUUUAGUGUUUUAUUGUGUUAACGUGUUCUUAGUGUUCCUCAUGUUUUAUCUGCUUUUGAUUGGUAUUUUAUCUUCUGUUUUAGUUCCUUAGAUUGGUUGUGUUUUGGUUUAGCCUGUGCAGCACUUUGGGCAGCUUCCAUGCUGCGUUUUAAACAUGCUAUAUAAAUAAACUAUGGUAUGGUAUGGUAUGGUAUGUAGAGCCACAAAUGCAGAUUUAUUAUUACAUUAAAAUGUCACGAAUACCAAAACAGUGCACAGGGCUUUUUAACUACGAGCUAGAAGCAUUAAAGAAUAUAUAUUCAUAUAUAUUGGAUUCAAUGUUUAUUUUGAACAUGUAAAAAUAAAAUAAAGAACAAAAAACAUAAUAAUCAAAAUAUGCAAAUUGGAUAAAAACAAUAAAGAUGAGAAAUAAUACACUCUGAUUUAAGUAAUGAAUUUACAAAUCUGAAAUGAGUGGGAUGAAGUGAAAAUUUAUUGCAACGCACCCCUUCAUAUUAAUUCAAUAUCAACAACUAAUUUGGCUCCCAAUCAACACCAUAUAUAAAUACUAAUAACACCAAUAUUACUCUUUGUGGGCAGCAUAGCACAGGAGGUAGAGCGGGUUGUCCAGUAAUAGGAAAGUUGCAGGUUUGAUCCCGACUCAGACCAGAGAAUGCUGCUGUUGUGUCCUUGGGCAAGACAUUUAACCCGCCUUUCCUGCUGGUGGUGGUCAGAAGGACCAGUGGCGCCAGUGUUCGACAGACCUCUUCUGUCAGUGCACCCCAAGGCGGCUGUGGCUACAUCGAAUCUCACCCCACUGUUGAGGGUCUGACCUCAUGAGGAAAUUACUAUGCAGUGAUUUUCUCCAAAAUGACUGUGCUUAAAUUGCUCUGA